rnacentral:rRNA from 1 species
GGAGGAAGGUGGGGAUGACGUCAAAUCAGCACGGCCCUUAUGUCCAGGGCUACACACGUGUUACAAUGGCCGGCACAGAGGGCAGCUACCUGGUGACAGGAUGCUAAUCUCGAAAAACCGGUCUCAGUUCGGAUCGAAGUCUGCAACUCGACUUCGUGAAGCUGGAUUCGCUAGUAAUCGCGCAUCAGCCAUGGCGCGGUGAAUACGUUCCCGGGCCUU